UUAUCUGCAGAUAAAGUUGAGUUGAAUUUACCUGAGUUUAAAUGUCACACACACACAUAUAUAAUAUGAGUGUACAAAUAUAUACAUUCAGCAAAUUUGAUCAACUGAAUAUCUGGAAUAGAAGUAAAACAUGCUUUUAAAAAUGUAAUUUCUUGUUGCGGUCACUUAAGGAUUUUGGAAGAAAUACUACUUACUUUCUCUUAACAUGAUUAGGAAUGUUUACUUUGAAAACAUAUUUAUGGUUCUGUGAAGCAGUAUUAUUUUCUCACAUAAUCUGUUAGCUAGCAUUAAAAAGAUCGUUUGGCUGGCCUAUUUCGUUGGUCAUAUGUGUUAGAAAAUGUGUUAGAGCUACUUGGGUCUGUUAAGAUGAACUUGUUUUUGAAUUUGUUAUUGAAAAGAACUUAGAUAAGCAGAUAUGAAUUAAGGUACAAAGUAUUACUUGAGUACUUUAGGAAAACAAAUGUAUAUUUAAAGGUUGGGUCACUGUAUGUCAAACGAAACACAGAUGGGCAGUCCUUAGGACCUAUGUCCCUUAUGUUAAAAUAUCACAUGAAACAAGAACUAGGGUGUGAGACUCAACAUCUCACAAACAUUUUCAGAUCCUUAAUAAGCAAUAUAGAAUUAAACACUUUUACUGAGUUAAGCAUUUUCUGUGGUCAUAUUUGUGACUCUAGAAAAAAAGUCUGAAGAAACAGAAGGAAAGUUUAGACUGUUUUUCUAAUAUGACGAAAUAGUUUUAAAUUGGCAAAGUUUUCUACCAUUAUACAUAGUAAAUGUUUGUAAGUUUGACCCCUAGCAAAGUACCAAGAAGUUCAUAUGGCAUUUAACCCCUCUACAUAUGGAGAAUAAAAUUAGAAGAAUAAUACUUACCUGGCAGGGGAGAGAUACCAUGAUCACGAAGGUGGUUUUCCCAGGGCGAGGCUUAUCCAUUGCACUCCAGAUGUGCUGACCCCUGCGAUUUCCCCAAAUGUGGGAAACUCGACCGCAUAAUUUGUGGUAAUGGGGGACUGCGUUCACGCUUUCCCCUGGUCUUUAAAAAAAAAUUAGAAGAAUAAAAUGGUGGACAGCUGA